UAGGGAAUAUUGGACAAUGGGGGCAACCCUGAUCCAGCCAUGCCGCGUGAGUGAAGAAGGCCCUCGGGUUGUAAAGCUCUUUUGUCCGGAAAGAAAAGCUUCGGGUUAAUACCCCGGGGUUCUGACGGUACCGGAAGAAUAAGCACCGGCUAACUUCGUGCCAGCAGCCGCGGUAAUACGAAGGGUGCAAGCGUUACUCGGAAUUACUGGGCGUAAAGCGUGCGUAGGUGGUUGUUUAAGUCUGAUGUGAAAGCCCUGGGCUCAACCGCGGAAUGGCAUUGGAAACUGGGCAGCUAGAGUGCGGUAGAGGGUAGUGGAAUUCCCGGUGUAGCAGUGAAAUGCGUAGAGAUCAGGAGGAACAUCUGUGGCGAAGGCGACUGCCUGGACCAGCACUGACACUGAGGCACGAAAGCGUGGGGAGCAAACA
rnacentral:rRNA from 1 species